rnacentral:rRNA from 1 species
UACGUAGGCAGCAAGCGUUGUUCGGAGUUACUGGGCGUAAAGGGUGCGUAGGCGGUCCUAUAAGUAUGGUGUGAAAUCUCCCGGCUUAACUGGGAGGGUGCGCUAUAGACUGUGGGACUAGAGUGUGGGAGAGGAAAGUGGAAUUCCUGGUGUAGCGGUGAAAUGCGUAGAUAUCAGGAGGAACACCGGUGGUGUAAACGGCUUUCUGGACCAUAGCUGACGCUGAGACACGAAAGCGUGGGUAGCAAACAGG